GACGAACGCUGGCGGCGUGCCUAACACAUGCAAGUCGAGCGGAGUCGAUCGACGGAAGCCUUCGGGCGGAAGAUGGUUGACUUAGCGGCGGAUGGGUGAGUAACGCGUGGGCAACCUGCCUCGAAGACCGGGAUAACAGCCCGAAAGGGCUGCUAAUACCGGAUGUGGUCAAGGAUCCGCAUGGAUUUUUGAUUAAAGGGGAAACCCGUUUCGAGAUGGGCCCGCGUCCUAUCAGCUAGUUGGUGAGGUAAAAGCUCACCAAGGCGACGACGGGUAGCCGGCCUGAGAGGGUGACCGGCCACACUGGAACUGAGACACGGUCCAGACUCCUACGGGGGGCAGCAGUGGGGAAUCUUCCACAAUGGGCGAAAGCCUGAUGGAGCGACGCCGCGUGAGCGAAGAAGGCCUCGGUUGUAAGCUCUGUCUGGAGGGACGAAGGAAGUGACGGUACCUCCGGAGGAAGCCACGGCUAACUACGUGCCAGCAGCCGCGGUAACACGAGAGUA
rnacentral:rRNA from 1 species